rnacentral:rRNA from 1 species
AGCGAACGUUUGCGGCGGGCCUAACACAUGCAAGUCGAACGCACUAGCAAUAGUGAGUGGCGCACGGGUGCGUAACACGUGGGUAAUCAACCCUUCAGCCUGGGAUAACGACUCGAAAGGGUCGCUAAUACCGGAUACGGCGCGAGAGGCUUCGGCUUCUCACGAGAAAGCCACGCAAGGGGGCACUGAAGGACGAGCCUGCGGCCCAUCAGCUAGUUGGUGAGGUAAGAGCUCACCAAGGGCUAAGACGGGUAGCUGGUCUGAGGGGAUGAUCAGCCACACUGGAACUGAGACACGGUCCAGACUCCUACGGGAGGCAGCAGUGGGGAAUAUAGCGCAAUGGGCGAAAGCCUGACGCAGCCACGCCGCGUGAGCGAUGAAGGCC